CGGCCUCGCAUUGGUCAAAAUUGGGCCAUGUUCUCUUCGUCUCCAGAGGGAACGCGAUUUAGGGGAAGCGCUAGCGAGGUCGGCGGUCGCCAUCACCCAUCUCGUGAAGGGGGCGCUCAGGCGGCAGUCGAUGGUUCUGGCAGGGCAGCGGUGUGUCCGCGGGAUGAGGGCGUUCCCGCGAGGUGGUUGCCGAAGGGAGGCAUCCCUGCGCCACUGCCACUAUUCCGUAUCGUUUUCCUCCUCUGUUAGUUCCAGGAGCAAGGUGAUGUUGUCCUCGAGCCAUGGGGCAGUGCCGUCGUGGACAGACGGGUCAGAUGAUGAGUACAGAGUUACACGAUGUUGCUCCUCUUUUUUUUUCUCGCCGAGGGACUGCUUCCACCGCCCAGGUUGGACAACAAUAAUGUUGGAAUCCGCCGAGCAGGCCGCUGCCCCGACGUUGGCCACCACUGGCUGGGGUCGUAGUGCCCUCUGCUCGGAGGUCGCCCAGGUCGACGUCCGUAGGUGAUUCCUCCUCCAGCAGCAGCCUCCCAUCCUGCACCUAACAGUCAACGUCGCUAUCUCCAAUAAGGGAAUUAGGCAGCAUUCCAUGCCUCACUACUUUAUGAUGCUUUGUGGAUGGAAAUGACCUGACGCUAAUUCCAACCAUUCUUUUGUCUCUAUCCUCUCCCUAACUGACCUCAAGCAAAGCUGCUACUGCUGCUCCAGGGGCAGAUAAUCGAACAAAGGGUGAGGCGGACGAGCUAGAGAAGAUUAAGUAUUCCACAUAUACAGAUGUUAUCUAGGAUUAGAUGAGAAUCAUUCAUCUUCAAUUUUGCAUAACAAGAAACCUAGCUUAUAUUUUUCUAUUGCGACAUUCCAAUGUCUCAAGUUCUUUUGACGUGGAGCAUCCUACAAACAUCACCAUGUCAAGAGUCCGUAUGGCAAGUGAUACGUUCGGCAUCUACUUCACAUACUUAAAGGUGAAUCAUCUCCUUUAUACAUGUCCACUUGACCCCUUCGAGGACGGUAUACUACUUGACAUUCCUCUCGUGUGCAUACAUAGGUAUUGCCGGAGCUUCAUGGAUGACGAGGAGGAGUGCAAGAGCCAAGGAUCACCUACAUCAUCCAUGAGGGAAGCUUGGAAGCGAAGAUGGAAGAAGAUGAAGCUGCAGCAAAGCUACAACCACCGGACGUCCGGCCACCCGCAGACCAGACGACCAAAAGAACUCCAGCCAACGAGUGCUACAACGGCCGGACGGUCGACGACCUCCGGACGUCCGACAAGUCCCAGCCACUGGACGUCCGAUGCCUACCGGAUAUCCGGUGCCACCUAUCCAGAAGAAAACUGUCAGAAGUCCGACGCCCUCCGGACGUCCGGACCCCCGCGAGCGACCGGAUAUUCGGUAACCACCGUACGUCCGAUCCUGCCUGUGCGCAGCCGGGCCUUUGGCCUUGUAUACCUCUCCCACUUACCCCUUCGUGGCUAAGACUAUAUAUACUCCUCCCCCACCCCUAGCUAGAGUUAGCAAAUAUGAUAGCUCAUUUGUAUGUGAGCUUUGCUCC